rnacentral:rRNA from 1 species
UACGUAGGGUGCGAGCGUUGUCCGGAAUUAUUGGGCGUAAAGAGCUUGUAGGCGGUUUGUCGCGUCUGCUGUGAAAUUUCGGGGCUCAACCCCGAACUUGCAGUGGGUACGGGCAGACUAGAGUGUGGUAGGGGAGACUGGAAUUCCUGGUGUAGCGGUGGAAUGCGCAGAUAUCAGGAGGAACACCGAUGGCGAAGGCAGGUCUCUGGGCCAUAACUGACGCUGAGAAGCGAAAGCAUGGGGAGCGAACAGG